AUAUUUUUCUUUCUACUCUUUCAGCGCUUCAUCAGCCGUAUUCAUAGGCCAUUUCACAGGCUAGCAAGGAUUCCGAUGGCUCCUUUUGACCGGGCGCUCGAUUGCCAAAAAGUUUUGCACACGAAAAUUGACGCUGAGCGGUAAAAGUUUUAGGCAUUUCGUUAGGAAAAACUAUUCACAAUAAAUGAAAAACGCGCAAUGUGUUUUUCGGCCGAGCUAAAUGAAAUUGCGAACACAACUACGAGACGAUGAAACUAUUCGACGACUUUCGAUGCAAAUCACAUGGAACGGGCCAACAACAAAACUUUACAAUUAAUUGAUAAAUUCUAAAUCGCCUUGAUUGAUAUUGCCAACAGGUGUUUAUCAGUCUGAUGAUCGCCAAACGCCGCCUGGUAACGGUAAAAACAUGUGCUCGCUCCCUAUUACAGCACAAAGUUUUAAGGUCUUUAACUUGGUAAGGUCAAUGGAAGAGGAAGAGUCCGCUGCAAUUGGGAAAGUAAAGGGAAGUUCAGAGAAGACAUACGAGAGUUGAUCAACAAAAUAUUUUAGUAAUAUAUUUUUGUUGUAAUUGUGCUUGUACGAGGUGUGUUCAAUGAGUUGAUCAAGCUUUCAUUUAUUUCUGAAAUUAUUUAUUUAUUCAUGAAUAACUCUCAAAGUCACAAGGCUGAAAAUAUGUCAAAUUUUAAGUAAAUAAAUAAUUAUAAAAGCAUUGCAUUUUUUUGAAGUGUUAAAAAAAAAAACUCUAAUAAAUUGCGCCCUUUUAGAUCAUAGGCGAGCCCAAAGCGCUUUAUGGGUCACAUAUAACACUAAAGGUGUUUGUCACCGACGAUAAAAAAAAAACAGUUAUAACAUUAAAGAUAAGAUUGUUAAGUUUAAAUUGUAGCAAAAAAAUAAAACGGCACUAGACGAGCGAGAAGAUGCUGCAAAAGAGUAAGAGAGAGCGUGGUCGAGCGAGGAAAGACAGGCAAAGAGAGGAUGAAUAUCCAUUUCAGAAAUAUUACGCAAAAACUUUAUACAGCGAUAUGAACCAGAUAGACUUUGCUUUUGGGCUUAAAGAGCUCUUGACUUGUGUAAAUGUAUUCCUAGGUCUAUGGGAAGAAGAGGGUAAAAUUAAUUUAUAUAUGAUUACAGCUUAAAGUAUUACGAGCUUCUUUUCCACUUGAGAUUUCAAAUCUGACGUGUUGUAUAAAAUACAUAUUUUGCAAUUAUUGUGUUUCUUCCAAUGUUUGAUUGUAGAUAUAUAUAUAAAUAUGUCUUAAGUGUU